rnacentral:tRNA from 1 species
UUAAUUGAAACCAAAAAGAGGUUUAUCACUGUUAAUGAUAAUAUUGAAUGUAUUAAAAAAUUCCAAUUAAA